CCUGGUUGAUCCUGCCAGUAAUCAUAUGCUUGUCUCAAAGAUUAAGCCAUGCAUGUCUAAGUACAUGCCGAAAUAAGGCGAAACCGCGAAUGGCUCAUUAAAUCAGUUAUGGUUCCUUAGAUCGUUUCUUCCUACUUGGAUAACUGUGGCAAUUCUAGAGCUAAUACAUGCAGUGAGCCUGGAGCCCUUUGGGUAACGGGUGCUUUUAUUAGACCAAGAUCGAUCGGGUUUCGGCCCGUAUUGUGUGGUGACUCUGGAUAACUUUGUGCUGAUCGCAUGGCCACGAGCCGGCGACGUUUCUUUCAAGUGUCUGCCUUAUCAACUUUCGAUGGUAGGUUACUUGCUUACCAUGGUUUGUUACGGGUAACGGAGAAUCAGGGUUCGAUUCCGGAGAGGGAGCCUGAGAAACGGCUACCACAUCCAAGGAAGGCAGCAGGCGCGCAAAUUACCCACUCCCGGCACGGGGAGGUAGUGACGAAAAAUAACAAUACGGGACUCUUUUGAGGCCCCGUAAUUGAAAUGAGUACACUCUAAAUCCUUUAACGAGGAUCAAUUGGAGGGCAAGUCUGGUGCCAGCAGCCGCGGUAAUUCCAGCUCCAAUAGCGUAUACUAAAGCUGCUGCGGUUAAAAAGCUCGUAGUUGGAUCUCAGUUCCAGACGAGUAGUGCAUCUACCCGAUGCGACGGCUCGGACUGAACAUCAUGCCGGUUCUUUCUUGGUGCACUUCAUUGUGUGCCUCGAGAUGGCCGGUGCUUUUACUUUGAAAAAAUUAGAGUGCUCAACGCAGGCGAGUCGCCUGAAUAAACUUGCAUGGAAUAAUAGAACAAGACCUCGUUUCUGUUCUGUUGGUUUUUGGAAUACGAGGUAAUGAUUAAGAGGGACGGACGGGGGCAUUCGUAUUGCGGCGCUAGAGGUGAAAUUCUUGGACCGUCGCAAGACGAACUACUGCGAAAGCAUUUGCCAAGAAUGUUUUCAUUGAUGCACCGAACGAAAGUCAAGAGCGAUUCAGAUACCGGCGAUCAGAUAGUUAGUUCUGACCAUAAACGAUGCCAACCAGCGAUCCGCCUGAGUUACUCAAAUGACUCGGCGGGCAGCUUCCGGGAAACCAAAGUAUUUGGGUUCCGGGGGAAGUAUGGUUGCAAAGCUGAAACUUAAAGGAAUUGACGGAAGGGCACCACCAGGAGUGGAGCCUGCGGCUUAAUUUGACUCAACACGGGAAAACUUACCCGGCCCGGACACUGGGAGGAUUGACAGAUUGAGAGCUCUUUCUUGAUUCGGUGGAUGGUGGUGCAUGGCCGUUCUUAGUUGGUGGAGCGAUUUGUCUGGUUAAUUCCGAUAACGAACGAGACUCUAGCCGCUAUUAUUAAAUAGGUGCGGGGUUCCCAGCACCUUACAACCUUCUUAGAGGGACAAGCGGCUCCUAGCCGCACGAAACAGAGCAAUAACAGGUCUGUGAUGCCCUUAGAUGUCCGGGGCCGCACGCGCGCUACACUGAAGGAAGCAGCGUGUCUUUAUCCCUGUCUGAAAAGACUGGGUAACCCGUGGAACUUCUUUCGUGAUUGGGAUAGGGGCUUGCAAUUGUUCCCCUUGAACGAGGAAUUCCCAGUAAGCGCGAGUCAUAAGCUCGCGUUGAUUACGUCCCUGGCCCUUUGUACACACCGCCCGUCGCUACUACCGAUUGAAUGAUUUAGUGAGGUCUUCGGACCGAUGUCCGGCGCGGCCUUUCGGUUGCGCCGGUCUGUUGGAAAGAUGACCAAACUUGAUCAUUUAGAGGAAGUAAAAGUCGUAACAAGGUUUCCGUAGGUGAACCUGCGGAAG
rnacentral:rRNA from 1 species